rnacentral:rRNA from 1 species
GGUAGUGACCAGAAAUAACAWUACGGGGCUUAAUGUCUUGUAAUUGGAAUGAUGGGAAUUUAAACCUCUUCCAGAGUAUCAAUUGGAGGGCAAGUCUGGUGCCAGCAGCCGCGGUAAUUCCAGCUCCAAUAGCGUAUAUUAAAAUUGUUGCAGUUAAAAAGCUCGUAGUUGAAUUUCUGCUGCAUUUCAUUUCUCUUUCUGAGUUUGUUUUUGCGGCUUAUUUCGGUUUGAUUUUUUCUUUCCGGAUGAUUACUUUGAGAAAAUUAGAGUGCUCAAAGCAGGCUUUUGCCUUGAAUAGUUUAGCAUGGAAUAAUAAAGUAGGACUUUGGUUCUAUUUUGUUGGUUUUAGGUACCAAAGUAAUGGUUAAUAGGAACAGUUGGGGGCAUUCGUAUUUAACUGUCAGAG